GAUGAAGAACGUAGCAAAAUGCGAUAAGUAAUGUGAAUUGCAGAAUUCAGUGAAUCAUCGAGUCUUUGAACGCACAUUGCGCCCGCCAGUAUUCUGGCGGGCAUGCCUGUUCGAGCGUCAUUUCAACCCUCAAGCUCAGCUUGGUGUUGGGACUCGCGGUAACCCGCGUUCCCCAAAUCGAUUGGCGGUCACGUCGAGCUUCCAUAGCGUAGUAAUCAUACACCUCGUUACUGGUAAUCGUCGCGGCCACGCCGUAAAACCCCAACUUCUGAAUGUUGACCUCGGAUCAGGUAGGAAUACCCGCUGAACUUAAGCAUAUCAAUAAGCGGAGGA
rnacentral:misc_RNA from 1 species